ACUGAUGCACCAUCACACAAAAACUCACAUUUCUCCCAAUUUGCUUCCUGUCCCAUUAUUAAUCCAAAUCCAAACUCAGAAAGACAGGAAGGCUGACUGACGUUCAAAUAAACUAAUCACCCUCUGAGUUCCCACUUGAGCGACGGGCACUACAGCCAAUGACAGCAGGGGUUAGUAUUAAAUUUGAGCUGCGAUAGGCUGGAGGAAAUCGGCCCAUGAUCAGCCCCUCCUCUUCCGCUCCAUCGCCAUGGCGGAGAUCAGCGAGUCGCUUCUGUCGGUGUCGCCGGCCUCGGCGCCCACAAGGACGGGUGUGAUUCCCCUUCGCGCCUCGGUGGGUCUGUUUCGGUGACGUCUGUGGUGGCUGACGAAACAUGCUUUGACAGGGAGCGAACGAGGACCAAUGACUACAACUCCCGGAAGGCCCCACUGAUGACGUUGUGUUGUUGUUUCGGGCUUUCCCACCACAGAUGUAAGGCUCAAUGGUCUAUAAUUAUCUGGACUAUCCCUACUACCCUUUUUGAACAAGGGGACAACAUUCGCCUCCCUCCAAUACUCCGGUACAAUUCCCGUGGACAAUGGGGACAUAAUGAUCUUCGCCAGAGGCUCAGCAAUCUAUUUCCUUGCCUCGGAUGCAGAACUGGGAAGCGCAGAUGGAGUUCAACACAGAUGAAGAGGUUCAUUUCUGCAGGUCAAAUUUGAACACAGAAUAUAAUAUUAAUGGGACAUUACUCCUGACAUUGGUCCCAAGACCCAGCCUGUUUACAGAACCGGAGCGGAACUGGAGCAGAUUCUUAGACACUUGUUUUCAUCGCAAAUCCAGAAGACAGUUUAACGUUUUUUCGUGAAUUUAUUCCCAGUGAAGGUGUGGAGAUGGGACAUAGUCUCCGCGUUGUAAAAUGAAUCUGUCCCGGACUCGUAACUGAGAUAAACUCCCACCCUCCCGGGGUUGGGACAGGCAGCGAGUCGGGGUUCAGGGGAGGUGGCAACACUGAACAAAUCAUAAUUCAAGUCCGAUAACCCCUGUCCGAUGACCCAGAUCAGCCAGAUAGUGGCGUCUGUGUCCACAGGACACUCGAAGCUGCUGCGUCGGUUGAGAGUGUUGUUAAGAAGCCGUAUGGCGUACUGGGCUUCAUCAACUGUGGGAUUGAUUUCAAGAGCUGUGAGGUGAUGUUACAGAGAAACAACGCCUUAGUUAGACCACACCUGGAGUACUGUGUCCAAUUCUGGUUACCUCACUACGGGAAGGAUGUGGAUACUAUACAGCGAGUGCAGAGGAGAUUUACAAGGGUGUUGCCUGGAUUGAAGAGCGUGCCUUAUGAAAAC